rnacentral:rRNA from 1 species
UACGUAGGGUGCGAGCGCUAAUCGGAAUUACUGGGCGUAAAGCGUGCGCAGGCGGUCUUUUAAGUCAGAUGUGAAAUCCCCGGGCUUAACCUGGGAACUGCGUUUGAAACUGGAAGGCUAGAGUGUGGCAGAGGGGGGUGGAAUUCCACGUGUAGCAGUGAAAUGCGUAGAUAUGUGGAGGAACACCGAUGGCGAAGGCAGCCCCCUGGGCUAACACUGACGCUCAUGCACGAAAGCGUGGGGAGCAAACAGG